rnacentral:rRNA from 1 species
GGAGGGUGCGAGCGUUGUCCGGAAUCACUGGGCGUAAAGGGCGCGUAGGCGGCGCGGAUAGUCGGCGGUGAAAGCCCGGAGCUCAACUCCGGGUCGGCCGUCGAUACUUCCGGGCUUGAGCACUGUAGAGGCAGAUGGAAUUCCGGGUGUAGCGGUGGAAUGCGUAGAGAUCCGGAAGAACACCGGUGGCGAAGGCGGUCUGCUGGGCAGUUGCUGACGCUGAUGCGCGACAGCGUGGGGAGCAAACAGGAUUAGAUACCCUGGUAGUCCACGCCGUAAACGAUGGGCACUAGGUGCUUGGGGGAGCGACCCCCUGAGUGCCGGCGCUAACGCAUUAAGUGCCCCGCCUGGGGAGUACGGCCGCAAGG